ACGAUCUCAGUAUAAACUGUGAGACACGCCCCAGCUGUUGCUCAGCUGAGUGACCCUUGCGAAAUCCAAAUUGAUGGCUAGGAAUAGCGUUGAUAAGGGCAUCUUGUUCAAGCAUUCGACUCAGAAUAAGGUACUCUAGAAUCUUAGAGAGGCCAGACAAUAGACUUAUUGGCCUGUAUGAUGAGGCGUGUUGCGUAGGCUUGCCAGGCUUAUGCACCAUCUUCACCAUUGCUAGCUUCCAGCAAGAGGGGAAAUGACCAAAUCUAAACGAGUUGUUGCAGAUCAAAACAAGAGUGCUAAUAUGAUUGAUGACCUCUGUUGCUGUGACUGGCCGAAAUGAGAGCGAAGAAGACGAGGAUGAUUGGCUUAUUUGCGCCUCAAUUUCAGCCAAGUCACUAGGCGACGUGGAGAUGAGAGGUUUAAAUCGCCGUUCAAGGCUAUCAGCGAAGAAUUCAGCUUUUUCUGCUGUUGUCUUGCACCAUACAUUGCGAGCAUUUGAGCCAUUGCCACUGCAGGACUUCAGCAGAGGCAGAUUUGGAGCAGGCUGCCGUUUAA